UACGUAGGGUGCAAGCGUUGUCCGGAAUUAUUGGGCGUAAAGAGCUCGUAGGCGGUCUGUCGCGUCGGCUGUGAAAACCCGGAGCUCAACCCCGGGACUGCGUCCGAUACUUCCGAGCUGGAGGUAGGUAGGGGAGAUCGGAAUUCCUGGUGUAGCGGUGAAAUGCGCAGAUAUCAGGAGGAACACCGGUGGCGAAGGCGGAUCUCUGGGCCUUACCUGACGCUGAGGCGCGAAAGCUAGGGGAGCGAACAGG
rnacentral:rRNA from 1 species